rnacentral:rRNA from 1 species
UGGGGAAUUGUUCGCAAUGGGCGCAAGCCUGACGACGCAACGCCGCGUGGAGGAUGAAGAUUUUCGGAUCGUAAACUCCUGUCGAAUGGGACGAAUAGAUUGCGGGUUAACAGCCCGCGAUCCUGACGGUACCGGUAAAGGAAACCCCGGCUAACUCCGUGCCAGCAGCCGCGGUAAUACGGAGGGUGCAAGCGUUAAUCGGAAUUACUGGGCGUAAAGCGCACGCAGGUGGCUGAGUCAGUCGAUUGUGAAAGCCCUGGGCUUAACCUGGGAAUUGCAGUCGAUACUACUCGGCUAGAGUAUGGGAGAGGACAGUGGAAUUCCCGGUGUAGCAGUGAAAUGCGUAGAUAUCGGGAGGAACAUCAGUGGCGAAGGCGGCUGUCUGGCCCAAUACUGACACUCAGGUGCGACAGCGUGGGGAGCAAA